UUGGGAGUUAGUCUAACUGAAAGUUUUGAAGACAAGCAGUUGCUGACAUUUGAAAGGUGUCAAAUGGUUAUAUGUGCUGGAGAGAGAUGAGCAUCAGAGUUGCCAUAAAUGUAUAGGACAAAUGCUACUAUUUGAUUCUACUUUGAACUCAGAACGAGAAAUGAAGAAAAAGGUGAAAGGAUAUUUUUGAUCUGUAUCAGCCAAUUAACUACUUUGACUAAGAUUUCGUCAUCAGUAUUAGUUUAUCAACUCCACUUAGCAGUAGAAGCAUCUUUUCAACAUGGAAGCCAAAUCCAUUAAGGAACUUUUAUGGAUAAUUCCUAAAACAGAAAGAAGACACACAAAUUUACAAUUUCUACACUAUUAAGUUACUCCUUAGUUCAAGCGUUUUCUUCAUUCUUCUAUCUCCUUGGCAAAUUGCUAAAGUAUGUGUCUACUUUCCCCUACAAAUAGUACAUUGGUGGAAGAAGUUUAUGUGUAUACUGCAUUUAUUAUUUAUACAUUUGGUUUUAUAUAAGGGUAUCCAGAUAUUGUUCUUUAUUGCUUUAUUGUUGAGCAAUUUUAAAACUUAAAAGUACCCAACAUGGAAUCAGUUCCAAAGACUUAGCAUUUGGAUGUCAUUCUUCCAUGAAACAAUUUAAUUCAUUUCAUCAAAACACUCUGCUAGGUACUAGAGAUAGACCCCAAACUGAAGAGUUCUCCCAUGAAGGCUAUAUUUUAACUUAGGGAGAGGCAAAGAAUUAAUGCAUAAGAUCUGCAUUCAAAGGAGGGCCUUUCUUUGUAUUCACCACUAAUUUCAUAUAUACUCUCUAUAUAUUCAAAAACUAUUCUGUAUCCUGUCAAUUUUCACUCCAGUACUAUUGUUAUACUUCAUUUACCUAAUAACUGUUCCAUGCUCCAUAAUGUUUAGGGGCUGGAUCUCACCACCAUGCUAAAACUAUGCUCCAUGACAACUAUCCAAGGCAUUACAGAUGCUCUUUAAAUAAUCAAAAAAAAAAAUUAACAAUUGCAGAUAGCCACAUGAUCUCUUGAGUUUUCCCUGCACACCUAUCUGUGUGUCCUGCUUUCUAGAGCCCCCAAGUUGGGGUGAUGAAAUGUACAGUGUUUUCUAGAUCCCCCCACACUGGGAUGAUUAAAAUAUUGAGUCCUGCUUUCUAGAGCCCCCAAGUUGGAGUGACGAAAUGUACAGUGCUUUCUAGAGCCCCUAUGCUGGGGUAAUUAAAAUAUACUGUCUUAAUGGAGAAGUGAUGUGGUGGGACUCCUAAGGAUGGCGGGAAAAUGGAGUCCAUUUAUUGUAAGGACUUUCCCCUUUUUAGACCCAUAUACCCUUAUAUACCUCACCCAGAGUUUCCUCACUGUCUGUGACCCUCUACACCUAUCUACUUUGCCCUGUGGAGGUCCUCAAUCUUUUUAACACUCCCUAAGAUAUCACUCCUCCCUUGUUUGGCAUUAUUAUGAACAUUAGUUGGGGGGGGGGUUGGUAGAGAGGGGUUUAAUAGAGAGGGGUUUAAUAUCAACAAGAUAUAGAGCUUGAAUUUUAAAAAAAAACUUGGAAAGAUAUAGGUAAGAGACAGCAAAGGGCAGGAGAUAGAAAGUUGGCACUGAAAUAAAGACCAGGUCCAAGUAUCAUUUCUGAUACAUACUGGUCAUGGAGCUUUGGAUACAUCACUAAUCUUCUCAGGUCAUUAUCUAAGAAUAUCUUUACUGGUAAUUCUCUAUAUCUCUGAAAUCUGAGGAACAAUCCAGUACAUAGGAAAAAAUAAGCAGUUCAAAUGGACAAGCAUUUAAGUGAUUGCUAGAUACCAAGCUCCAUUCUAAGAUCAUAAAUUUUGAACUGGAAAAAAACCUUACAAGUCAUUGAAUCCAAUCUCUUCAUUUUUUUAAAGGAGGAAACUGAAAUGUAGAGAGACGAACUGACUUAUCCAUUGUCACAUAAAUAGGAGGAGUCAGCAGGGAAGCCUCACAUAUUAAAUAUCUACCGUUCAGAACAGCAGCUGAGCAAGCCAAGCAACAAAGCCAAGAUGGAGCUGCUACUAUAACUUAAUGGCAGAUUGCCUCAGGGACCAGGAGAAGGAGAGGGGAAGAAAAUCAGUUUUGGAAGAUGAAAUAAAUAUUGGACUUGCAAGUCUACACUUAGUGAUAUUAACCUGCUUAGUAA